rnacentral:lncRNA from 1 species
GAGCAUGUUGUGGUGUAUGUGAACAAGGCAGAUGCUGUCCAGGACUCGGAGAUGGUGGAGCUGGUAGAGCUGGAGAUCCGGGAGCUGCUCACUGAGUUUGGCUAUAAAGGAGAGGAAACCCCAGUCAUCGUAGGCUCGGCCCUCUGUGCUCUUGAGGUGAAGGCGCAUGCUCCUGUUGGUGGAGGAUGGGGUAGAGCUUUGCUCUGUACCUGGAGACUUAGCAUCCUGUGAAAGGAGCAGAAGUUUCAGGGUCUUAUUCUCUCUCUCUCCAACAGCAACGUGAUCCUGAGCUAGGUGUGAAGUCAGUGCAGAAGCUUCUGGAUGCUGUGGACACUUACAUCCCAGUACCCACCCGGGACCUGGAGAAGCCCUUUCUGCUCCCUGUAGAGUCAGUUUAC